GACGAACGCUGGCGGCGUGCUUAACACAUGCAAGUCGAACGGAAAGGCCCUGCUUUUGUGGGGUGCUCGUGUGGCGAACGGGUGAGUAACACGUGAGUAUCCUGCCCUUGUCUUUGGGAUAUCUUCAGGAAACUGGGGCUAUUACCGGAUAGGAGCUCCUGCUGCAUGGUGGGGGUUGGUAAGUUUCGGCGGUUGGGGAUGUACUCGCGGCUUAUCCGCUUGUUGGUGGGGUAGUGGCUUACCAAGGCUUUGACGGGUAGCCGGCCUGAGCGGGUGACCGGCCACAUUGGGACUGAGAUACGGCCCAGACUCCUACGGGAGGCAGCAGUGGGGAAUAUUGCACAAUGGGCGGAAGCCUGAUGCAGCAACGCCGCGUGCGGGAUGACGGCCUUCGGGUUGUAAACCGCUUGCGCCUGUGACGAAGCGUGAGUGACGGUAAUGGGUAAAGAAGCACCGGCUAACUACGUG
rnacentral:rRNA from 1 species